AUGCUCAAUAAAUAGUUUUAUAAAAAGCUAAUAUUAAGAUAUUUAAUUUCAGCGAAGCUCUGUAUAACCUCUCACCUCUUCAGAACUGCUUUUAAUCUGUAAUUAAUGUUUUGUUUUAUAUAUUUAAAGUGUGUUGUUUAUAUGAAUUUUUACUCUGUAAAGUGUCUUUGUGUUUCAAGAAAAGCGCUCCAUAAAUAAAAUGCAUUAUUAUUAUUAUUAUAACCUACAAUACCUGACACUAUUUUUUAGAUUAACAAGGAACUAAAUGUUACGAAGAUGCGAAGAUAAAGAGUUCAGAGCCUAACCGGCAGCAUUUGUUGGCUUUGCCCUCACAGCAGGUUUUCUUGUUGCCAUGGCUCGUGAUGAUUUUCUUCUCAACGUGAGAGAAAGAAAUCCUCCAACUUUCUGUUGCAGAAAGACAAAAACACACUGAUGGGAACAUGUCAUCACACAAAUAUCAUAAACACUCACACAAUAAUGACAGUCCUACAUGUUCUCCUGUAGUAGUCGGCAUGAGAGGAUUACUGAACACGUCUGUCUUGGCAGGAUUUCCCUGAAAAAUACAUGUUCCAACUACAACGAGACAAAAAGCAACUACAACAAGGGACCACAGACACAAACUAACUAAAAUGACACAGGAUGUUGGAAACAAAACAAAGUUACUAAAAACGAAAUGACCUUAGAAAAAACACCCAUUUACGAACUCAAACUAUGGUAAAGGAAUAGAAAAUGUCCAUGAAGAGAGACACAAUGAUCACAGAGGUUACACUACUUUAAAGUGUAUUGCUCAUUGGAGGAGAGCUGGUGAUGCCCUUAACAGGUCUGUGCCAAGGGGCCUAUCAUCUCAUGAUCCAUGCAGGGUAGACAGGAGGAACAUUCAAGCAGAGCUACAUUGUCUGUUAAUAAAUCAUUUUUAUAUGCACAUUGUUGCCUUUAUUAGACACAGAUGAGCUGAAAUGAGGAGAGGGGAUGAGGGUAUGCAGAAGACCUUUGAUUUUGUCAGUCAUUUUUCUUCACAGACAGAUGUUUCUCUCACCUUUGGCUUCCCCGCUGAGGUUUCUUCCCUUCAUCCUCUUUGGUACGAAGUAACACGGUAAACUGGUGAUCUCUUUGCGAACCUUCUUUCCCAGCCAGUUAUCCACAUCGGGUCCGUUACGGACUGGGAGAGGCCAGCCCUGAGAGGAGUGAACCUCCAAACAGGAACAGGGACAAGUGCCAACUCUCAUUGGUGGAAUAUGUUGAAGGGUAUAUUUGAGAGCAGGAACCAGGUCCAGAGAGAUCAACUCGUCGCUGUACAUGUCAUUCCUGAACAGAGACAAGGUCACAGCCGGUGAGCCGGGUUUCUUCCUGUUCACCUCCCAGCGACAGCCUUCAUCUGGCACUGGAAAAAGUAGGGCAGAGAGAUGAUUGACCAGACCUUUGUAGUUCUUGAGGAACUUGCGGACCAGGCGAAACGUCUCACUCAGGAUCUUGCUGGAUGAGAGGGUGAGCCCAUUCUCCAGGAGAAAAACUUGUAUGGGGCCCCGAGUCGGCCGGACAAGAUCGAUCUGGUAGAAAAGGCCUUCGUCGAGCUCCUUCAUGUUGAAGCGUGACGGAGCCUGAAGCUUCAGCAUCAUGUCGAACUCAUCCGGGCUGUGGAUCUGAGAUUAAACAGCGACAAUGGAGUAGCUGCCGGUGGUGAGGAAGUCAGCUGACUGGAAGAAUGGCUGAUCACUGCUGCUCCGCAGGAAUUUCACCAGGUUGUCUCGGAAAUCGUUGACCACCUCUGCAGCCCAGCGGCGGUCUGUCUGCGGGAUCUUUAGCUCAUUGGCGUUGGCUUUGAUCCAGGAGCUCAGCUCCGGGGAGAUGGAGACCGGCUCCUCCAGCACUUUGGACCACUCCUCUGCAAGGAGACAAUAAGACUGCAGCUCAAAUUUACUAAAUACUGUACCAUGUUCACAUUUAACCUUACAGAUUACAUUACAUUAAAUGUUUAUGU